CCCAUAUUGUUCCUGGUUGUUAACAAUAUUGUUCAUGCUGAACAAUGCUGAACAAUAUUGUUAACAACCAGGAACAAUAUGGAC